UGGAACUUCACAUUCCAGGAUGGGUGGCUUUCGGGGCCUUAGCACAUCCAUUUCUUGGUCAGUGUUACUUGUUAGGGUUCUUCCUUGAAACACCAGGGACUGAGGAACAAGAAAAGUCUGACAACUCUUACAGAAAUGGUAAGCUACACUUGCUGCUGCUGCUACCACCCGCCACCACGCCCAGCUAAUUUUUUUUUUUUUUUUUGGUAUUUUUAGUAGAGACGGGGUUUCACCGUGUUAGCCAGGAUGGUCUCGAUCUCCUGACCUCGUGAUCUGCCCACCUCGGCCUCCCAAAGUGCUGGGAUUACAGGCAUGAGCCACCGCACCCGGCCCAGGAAAAGUUUUAAGAGCAGUACAUAUAAGUUAGAUAAUGGUACAUGUAAGUCUAGUACUCCAAUUUCAAUUAACAUUUAAAUCUCAAACUACAAAACAUUUCAAGCUCUGCAUAGAUACAUUUUGGUGUUUUCUG
rnacentral:lncRNA from 1 species